ensembl:lncRNA
AUGCUCACACUUGAAAAGCAGACCUUGAGACGUGAGACAGUUUGCUCAAGAUCAAAGAGGUUCAGAACUCAAUUACUUCACUAAGAAGACUUUUUCAAUGAAACCUACCACUUGGUUACAACUUGUCUCUGCUGUAGUGUCCUUUAUCCUGUACUUGAUCCCAAGAAGAUCGACAAUGAUGAGUGCCAUCCACCGACAACUUCUCCUUGCUUACGUGAUGUAUAGGUGCAUUAAAGCUCAGGAAGCACCAGUCUGCAAGAGUCCAGGCAGGAUCCUCAAGCCACUGUUGAAAGGCAGAGAUGAGAGGGCAGUACGUUCUCAGCAGCAUACCUGGCAUAAGCAGACUCAGGCAGUGGAAGAAAGACAUUGUCCCCACUAGAAGACACUGUCCAGGGCUCCCUGGUUUCCAUAUCAACAGGCUGGCCUGUCCCAUCACCUGCUUCUGCCUCCCCUCCUGCUCCUACAGCCCACUGUGAAUGUAGGUAAUGAGCCCAGCGUGGCCCCUCAGGGAAGACCAUCCCCAGUCAGCUGUGGCUAUGACACAUCUCACCAUCCCUCAAGAACGUGUCACCAGUUGAUCUUCUACAACAUUUCUCUUCACCUGGCAUCAGGAUUCACCCAGGAGCGGCUGCUUCCUGGGUGUGACCUAUAGUUCUACUAGAAAGGAGCAGGAAGACCUGACCUCAGGGUUGCCCCCUGACCACUCACACCCAUGACCCCUGAGACAGACCCUCUGAGCCACUCUGAUCCCCAUGUUCUUCGGAGACAGCCUCCAGUGUCUGUGUUGUCUUGGGGUUAAAA